ensembl:lncRNA
UGCGCGCGUGUGUGUCUGCGCGUGUGUGUGUGUGUGUCUGCGCGUGUGUGUGUCUGCGCGUGUGUGUGUGUGCGCGUGUGUGUCUGCGCGUGUGUGUGUCUGCGCGCGUGUGUGUGUGUCUGCGCGCGUGUGUGUCUGCGCGCGUGUGUGUCUGCGCGUGUGUGUCAGAGUGGGCAGAUUGAGGUGUCAUGUUGUUGGAGGAACACUGUCAACAUCUGUAGUUUCUCAACAAGAACAUCGCCGGCGGCUGACAUUGUUUUGAACGCUGCCCUAAUUCUUGGCACACGGAGACGAGCGGAAAGCAAGCUAAUGACAGUCGGUCUUUCUCCCAUCCGUUAGCAUGCGUGGGCUCAGGCCUGUUCAAUCUCCCUGCCUGGCCUAUUGACAGGUGGAUGUGAGUGAAGAGGGCUGCAGAGCCACCUCUAAUUCAGACGGUUAAUAGGCUUGAGUCUUGAGAGCCUGUCGGUGGUGCAGCCGCGGCAGCAGGGAAUGAUUCAGCUUUUAACUGACUGGUAAACAAUGGCUGGCCAAGACGAAGGAGACGGUUUCACUUCUGACUGAUAUGGUGUCAGAUCAAAGAUUGUUUAUGAGAAGGAUGUUCUGCGGCUGUGGUUCAGACGGAUCGGGUUUCACCGUCUCCGACCGGCUAAAGGAAUUGUAAAGUGCGUAAGAGGAUUGAAAUGUUUUUUUUGUUCAAAGGACCAUUUCUCCCAUUUUCCUAAAUCACUUUUGAACUUGAUAAAGGACAGAAUCUGACGCCUUCAGCCCUCGCUCUUUGAGGUGACGCCAAUGACGUGUAUAAAAUAAUGAAAGGAAAAGCUACUGCUGGUGUGAGUCGGGUGCUGCUGUCAGAGAGGAGACCGUAAGAAGAGUGUGAGCUCCAUGUUUUCAUUAGAACAUGCAGAGGAAAUGGUUUAGUCAAUGGGGGUUAACCUUCAUUUACUCUCAGUGAAAUUCACUGUCAGUCCAGGUGCAGUAGUUCUCAAACUCAAAGCCCCAAUCUUGUGUUUCCUAGCCUGGUCCCAGAUCUGUUUUAGCACGACAAUGACCAUAGGGUUUCACAAGACAGCACAAACGCAUCUGAGACCAGGUAGUGUGUGUGUGUGUGUGUGUGUGUGUGUGUGUGUGUGUGUCUACCUGCUCCAUCUGAUCUCCCAGGUUCCAUGUCAGUCACAGGGUUCAGAUGGUCACCUCUUCACCCUCUGUGACCCUUGCCCUCUUGUGCCCUGCUCUGAUUUCAUUCUGGAGGCCAAGUCAUCGUUUGCUGAGAAAUUGCACUCUGAACCUGUCAUAACUUGAGAUCCCCUGAUUUGGAUAUUCAAUGGAUAUUGUUUGAUUCUCUUAGUCAUUGGUUGAUCAUGUCUAUUCAAUCUCAUUUCUUCACAUGAAUACCACUAUGCAUAUUUCAU